rnacentral:lncRNA from 1 species
AAUUUCUCCCUGAGCGCGGCAUUCAGAACCUGUUCCUCCGGCACCUGCAGGCUCACCAGGUCCCGGAAGAGCCGCUUGGAGCGCGGCACGUUCAGCCCUGAGAGCGCAGCGGGGACGGAGGAGGCGGAAGCGGACCUGGGAGCAGAGGGCAGGGCAGUGACCAGGUGCCGCGGCUGAGGGCUGUCGGGCCGCGGGCUCAGGCUCAAGUCCAGGCCGGGCUCGGGCACUGGGGCUCGGAGUUGCGGGACUUGGGGCUCCGGGGGUGGCCCCGGGACCGCCGCGGCUUCUUCCCCGUCCGCCGACUUCAGCUCUGACUCCCCACAACCCAUCAUCAUCUUUGGAGGGCCCCCAAGCCGAAGUGUUGGAAGCACUCACAGCCUUGGCACCGCCCCCAAGCCGAAGUGUUUUUGAGCUGGGGAAGUGCUGUGGAACAUCAGAUAGAAUGGAUAGCACAGCCCAAAUUUUACAAAAAGGAUUUUAAAGGAAGAUCUCAAUGGUGGAACACUAGAGGCUUUCCUGCUAAAGUUAAGAACAAGCAAGUAGGCUGACGCAGUUUUGGCAUGCAGGAAGUGUUGGAGCUGAGACUCGAAACUGUCCCCCAGGCCUUGGCCAUGCUGAUAAAUAUCUAGGCCCUACAGGAGUUCGUGUCCAUGAACCCAGUAAACGCAAUUCCUCAGCCUUAAAAUCUAGUCACUGACUCAUUUCAGGCCCCAGCACAGACGAAAAC